AAUAGUCACCCAAUUUGGUUUCUUGGAGCAUGACAACUGAAAGUUUCAGUCUAUUGAGUUGCAUUUGGACAACUUUAAUAUUCUCCUUCCUACCAAACCCCCUAAUGUUGCAAGUGACAAUUUACAAUGAAAAAAUUUGCAGGAUCACAAAAAUAACAUAAAAGGACCGCGUACCUCAAUGGUCAGCCUGCUCAAAUCCGCUAGGUCCCUUAACUAGGUUUUUAUGAGUCUCUCAACUGCCUCUUCCUUACAAUAAUUGAAAGAGAUUUCUAACUUCUCACUCAUAUACCUAGCCUCUUCGGCUUCUCCUAUUAUCACCUCAUUUCAAUUUUCAAUGCCAAAAUCAUAGGCCUCUUCUGCCAAAGAAUCCCCUGAUGCCAACUAAACAAUCCCCUUUUCAUACUAACAUUUUUCCUCUUCUUCUUCCCCAACUUGGACUAGGGAAAAACUUUGGAAUUUCUUUUCCCCAAUCUUAAGGGUUUCGCUCAUUUGCUCUUACAGAGUUGGAAGGAAGAAAAAUAGCUUAGUGUUUAGGACAGCAGCGAAUUUUGCUGAUUUGUCUUCAGAAAACAAGGAAAAUAGGGUUAAUUGUAGAGUUAGAUGGAAGGGCUACUUUAU
rnacentral:lncRNA from 1 species